rnacentral:rRNA from 1 species
CCUACGGGUGGCAGCAGUGAGGAAUAUUGGUCAAUGGUCGGGAGACUGAACCAGCCAAGCCGCGUGAGGGAGGAAGGUACAGAGUAUCGUAAACCUCUUUUGUCAGGGAACAAAGGCGGGGACGUGUCCCCGGAUGAGUGUACCUGAAGAAAAAGCAUCGGCUAACUCCGUGCCAGCAGCCGCGGUAAGACGGAGGAUGCGAGCGUUAUCCGGAUUUAUUGGGUUUAAAGGGUGCGCAGGCGGUCUGUUAAGUCAGCGGGCAAAGCCCGGGGCUCAACCCCGGCCCGCCGUUGAAACUGGCAGUCUCGAGUUGGAGAGAAGUAUGCGGAAUGCGCGGUGUAGCGGUGAAAUGCAUAGAUAUCGCGCAGAACUCCGAUUGCGAAGGCAGCAUGCCGGCUCCACACUGACGCUGAGGCACGAAAGCGUGGGUAUCGAACAGGAUUAGAUACCCUUGUAGUC